rnacentral:misc_RNA from 1 species
GGAAAAUUCCAUCGAAUACGUCAUAUCCAUGCUUAAAGGAUCGGACAGCAGAAUAGACAUUAACAACAAUGCAGAGAAUAGCAACAAGUGCAGUAACGAAGCUGAACACUCUACAAGUCACCAGGAAGGGGUCGGAUCCGGUUCGGACUCUAUUGGGUGAAAUUGAACGACCAUUGUUAACCCUCUGCGACUGGGAGCUCACUAUUCCUUCGCCAUCUCUCUCCAUCUUCUUUCAAUUUCUUCAAUUGAACUUCAAAUUGAAAGAGUUUCUCUGGAUUUAUUAAUGGAAUUCCAUUUUCCUUUACUUCGUGCGCACUCGCGAAUGAGAAUAUCGGCG